UGCGAGUUGGGGACGUGAGGAGCAGACGGUCCCUUGCCUUGGGAGUACUCUUGAUAUGCUCAGAUAUUUACGUUGCCCUUUUAAAACUUGAUAGAAUGAAGUAAGUUGCAGGCACUAGUACAUUGGCUAUUGACAUCACUUCUAUUGUUUUAAGAUUCUGCACUUUUGCAGGAAUUCCCUGUCUCUGAGAAGGGACAGG